UAAACAACAACCAGAGCCUCCCAGACAUUGUGGCCCUCUUCCUUCUCAGCCAGACUCCCAAUACUUUUCAGGCUUGGACGAUUUUGUUUUCUCCAGCGUGGAACUCAUCUCCCUGACUCUAAAGUAAGUUUGAAUCUUUUAUUACACUGUCGAUCUUUUUUUUCACAGUUGGAGUGCCUGGGAGAGCGGAGGCUUCGUGGCCGUUUGUCUGCCGUCGAUCAUCGGACACAAAGUAUGGCUGCGGAUCGAGAGGUGGUACCCAUGCUGACAGCGGCUAUCUGGAUUCUCGUGGCCAAUUCAGGAUAGGGGAACUGCAGCUCAACCUCCUCGAAGAGCACUGCCAGGACAAUUGAGGGCUCCUUUCGGCAGCCCUCUGCUGUGACAUGGACAUCCACUUUUUAUUUAAUUGAUUUUCAUGUUGUAUCAUUUGUGCCCUCUCUGCAUCCAUUUCAACCUGGUGAUCCUGAAAGGGGGAUCCUUCCAUCUGUGGUCCCUUCUCAAGGUUUCUCAUUUUCCCCCUGCUAGGGGUUUUUAAGUUUUUCCUUGCCCUUUUGGGAGCUUAAGAUCAGGGGAUGCUUUGAGAAUAAUUGUCAAUUUCUGUCUAUGUGAAGCCCUUUGAGACUGCUUGUGAUUUAGGGCUAUACAAAUAAACUUGACUUGACUUGA